rnacentral:rRNA from 1 species
GACGAACGCUGGCGGCGUGCUUAACACAUGCAAGUCAAACGGAAAGGCCCUGCUAUUGUGGUGUUCUCGAGGGGCGAACGGGUUGGUAACCCGGGUGUAACCUGCCCUUUGCUUUGGGAUACCUUCAGGAAACUCGGGCUAAUACCCGGUAGGAGCUCCUGCGGCAUGGUGUGGGUUGGAAAGUGUCGGCGGUUGGGGAUGGACUCGCGGCUUAUAAGCUUGUUGGUGGGGUAGUGGCUUACCAAGGCUUUGACGGGUAGCCGGCCUGAGAGGGUGACCGGCCACAUUGGGACUGAGAUACGGCCCAGACUCGGACGGGAGGCAGUAGUGGGGAACAUUGCAGAAUGGGCGGAAGCCGGAUGCAGGAAAGCCGGGUGCGGGAUGACGGCCUUCGUGGUGGAAACCGCUGUCGCAGGUGAUGAAGCGUGAGUGACGGUAACGGGUAAAGAAGCACCGGCUAACUACGUG